ACGGCUUUAUCGAAGCGUUGUUUGCGUAAAUGCGCAAUUGUUAGGUGAAGGGAAAAUUACAGUCAAGACUCUAGUCGUAAAAAAUUUCAAAGAGCAGCACACGGCGGAUAAUUUAAAGCAAUUAAUUUUGGAGGCAUUGGAAAGAUAUGAAAUUAAUAUUGAGCAAAUAUACAGUAUCACCAGCGACAACGGUCGAAAUAUGGUCAAGUGUGGUUCCCUUUUACAAGUCGAUAAUGAAAAUGAAGAAAGUACAAAUAUAUUAGAUUUUGACUCUGAUGAUGACGAAGGCGAUCAUAUUGAUUGUAACGUGCGAUACCAUUUUUGAUGAUCCACAGUUCGACGAUUGUAUGACCUCUCACCUCAAUUCUCUUGCUGUUAUAAGAUGUGCCGCUCCCACGAUAUAAUUGAGUGUACACCAUGUAAUAAAAAACGAAAAUGUAAAAUUGAAGUUUGAAAAAUUUCGAUUAACUGCAAAAAAUCUUCGCACACCAGCAGUACAUCGACUUCUGGUCAAUAAUAAUUUGUUACCACCGAUAGCUGACUGCCCCACCCGUAUGGAUUUGGUGAAGCGCUUAAAAGCUGUUCGAGAUUUCUUUGAUCAUAAUUUUGAAAACUCAGAUGUAGACUGGAGUUUUGUAGACGAUUUUUUUAUUAGUUUUGCUCCUAUAAAGGCAACUACAGAAAAGUUACAAAACCAAAACUUGCUUUUUGGCGACUUCAUAGCAAUGUUUUUGAAAAUGUGCUUGGCGGUAAAAAAAAAGGUCCGAUGCAUCUGAAAUUUCAAGACUUUUAUUCCAUUCGAUUACUAAAAGGAAGAAAAUGCUAAUAAAAAAUGCAACAGUAGCUGCAGCCAUUUAUUUAAACCCCAGAUUACAUCGUUUAUUGCUAAGUCCUGAAUUUGCGCAUAUUAGAGUAAUAGCCGUUGAGCAUUUGAAAAUGCUACAUUUAAAAGCUAGUGCGAUUUUUGACAGUCUGCACAACCCCACAGCAUUUCUAUAACAGAGAGCGAGAGUAGUAUCGAAGAUACAAGUACCGAUUUACUUGGUAAAUUAUUAAAUCAAAUAAGUUCACCUACAUACAGCGCCUCAUACACUUCAGAAGCUUAUUUGGCUAUUGAAACAUUCAACGAAUCCACCGACACUAAAACCAAUUUAGCCGACUUCUGGGAAAGAAAAAAGUUUUCACACACAAUUUUCUACCAGCUUUCUCAAAUUAUUCACGCAACGCCGUCAACGCAAGUGAGUGUAGAGCGUGCAUUUUCGACACUGAGAUAUAUAGUGAAUGACUACAGGUCAAAUCUAAGCGACGUAUUAACAGAAAUAAUUUUACUUUUAAGGUUAAAUAAUAAGUAAACAUGUAAUUCAUACCGUUGCUGUAUCGGUAUUAGACUGCGAUUUAAGUUUCAAUAUCAUUUAUUUAACUUCUUUGGAUGAAUAUGCAUAAAACAAAUGAAUUUCAAAAGCAUAAUUUACAUACAUAUGUAUUACAUGCAUAAUUAGUAAAAAUGUAAAUAAAAACACGGUCCAAAUAGAAAUUCUAAUACGAAAUUGAAAUUAUUUACGUUAUGCAUACAUAUCGCACAUUUGCUGCAAGAGUGGCAAUUCAAAAUAAUAUAAAAUCGAGUUAAGUA